GUUAGUAAACCUUCCCAACAUGGAGAGAUGCUUUCUUCUUAUUCUAAUAUCCACUCCAGGUAUUUUAUCUGACAGCAUUCAACCGAAAGACAUGGAAACUAAUAUUUACACAUCUGAAGAAGAGCGUGUAACACUGAGCUGCACUUAUGAUACAAGCAGCAAUUAUGUCUAUCUCUACUGGUACAGACAGUAUCCUAAUGGGAAACCAGAAUAUAUAUUGUUUAAAGGUGCCCGGACUUGGAGCAGUGACGAAAAUAUACCAGACACUCGGUUUCAGUCCAUUACAUCCCAAACAUCCACUGAACUCAUUAUUAAGAGUGUAACUCUGUCAGAUUCAGCUCUUUAUUACUGUGCUCUAAGAGUAACAGCCCAGUGUUACAAAGUGCCUGAGAGGCUUUACAAAAACUCACUCAGAAAACUUGCUUUGAACAGUGAGUUAUCAAAUGAAUAUCAGACCACAUUUGUGUCUUCACAAACCACAAAGUCAAAUUGA